GAUGAAGAACGUAGCGAAAUGCGAUAAGUAGUGUGAAUUGCAGAAUUCAGUGAAUCAUCGAAUCUUUGAACGCACAUUGCGCCCCUUGGUAUCCCGAGGGGCAUGCCUGUUCGAGCGUCAUUUCACCACUCAAGCCUGGCUUGGUGUUGGGCGACGUCCUCUUUGGGGACGCGCCUCGAAACGCUCGGCGGCGUGGCACCGGCUUUAAGCGUAGCAGAAUCUUUCGCUUUGGAAGUCGGGGCCCCGUCUGCCGGAAGACCUGCUCGCAAGGUUGACCUCGGAUCAGGCAGGGAUACCCGCUGAACUUAAGCAUAUCAAUAGCGGAGGA
rnacentral:misc_RNA from 1 species